rnacentral:rRNA from 1 species
UAAACUGGGAUUAGAUACCCCACUAUGCCAAGUUGUAAACUUUAAUUUACACCCCACUCUAUCGCCAGGAGACUACGAGCUAAGCUUAAAACCCAAAGGACUUGACGGUACCCCAUAUCCCCCUAGAGGAGCCUGUCCCAUAAUUGAUAACCCCCGCUGAACCUCACCAUUCUUAGUCUAUCAGCCUGUAUACUUCCGUCGUCAGCUAACCACAUGAGUGAAACUCAGUGAGCCCAACGGUCACCCACCAAAACGUCAGGUCAAAGUGCAGCAAAUAGAAUGGGAUCAGAUGGGCUACACUUUCUAAUGUAGAAAAUAACGAAAGACUAUGUGAAACCCGAGUCAGAAGGUGGAUUUAGAAGUAAAAAGAAAUCAGAGAGUUCUUUUUAACCUGGUACUGGGGUGUGUACACACCGCCCCGUCACCCUCA